UUAUUUUUAUCCGGGUUUAAAUUAACAUUGCUGGUGGUUUCAUGAUAGCUAAUCCCUAACAAUUGAUUCCACCAAUCCAAGAUAAUAUAUUCUUCUAGUUGUUUUUAUAUCUUAGGCUAAUAAUAAUGAGAAUAGUCUAUUAUUUUCACAAUAAUAAUCAAAAGUUUUUAUCAACUAACAUGGACUGUCGAUGAGAUCAGAUGCCGGUAGGAUCAAUUUGUAAAGAUUACUUGGCGUGGUAUAAAAUUGAUGGGAUGUUGAAGGCACACCAUCGCUGGUAUAUCUAAAUAUUAUUAAUGUAUUUGGAACUUAAUUUAAGCCCGGAUAAAAAUAAAUGUGGUUUGAAAAACUGGCCCUAAAAAAUUCAUGGUUUUAUGAAUAUUAGAUAGAAUAUUUUUUCAUGUUCGAAAAGAAUUUAAUAUUCUUAGUUGACAUGGAAAUACUUACUUUUAGGUUAUGUAAGUAUUAAGUCUCGAAUUAAAAAAUAGUUAAUCAAGAAAAUCGAUAAAAGGAACAAUUGACACAAUAAUAUCAAAUAUUCACUGGUUAGAAUUGUUUAAUCCUUCAACCCCACAAAACAUGGGAUUAUUUCUAAUGUUGAUCUUUAUUAUGUCUGUUUGUAACUAUAACUCAUUAAUAUAUGUAAAGUUCUGAAGAUAAAUAAUUCUAUUCAUUUUUUCGCCAGGAGAACUACAUAUUAAACUUUUACCUUGAGAAAUUAAUGAACAGUUCGACAAAAUAAAAUACAAUACAACAAAACAUUUUGAUAAAUCCAUAGGAAUAUAAUAUAUUGAUUAAAGAGUUAAAUUUCUAAUAAUAAGGUUCCAAUUUAAUUUUUUUAUUAAAAUACAAGUAACGAAUCGAAAAUAUUUUUCUAUAGACUCACAAAAACCGAUGACAACAUAAUCGAUAAACCAAAUCAAAAUUGAAAAUCCGAUGGACGAGACUAUUCGCACCCAGGCGUGUAUGCAGCGUAUAAAAUUUUGGGAAGUUAUUGUUUUCACCCCGAUUCGCGAAAAUUGGAAUUCCAACAGAUGUCGACAUUUUGAGAUUCUAGGAAACUAUUCUGACUAGAUUCAAGAUGAUGUCCGAGUAUAUUUUUUUUGAAAUUUCACAAAAACGUCUUGAUAAAUCAAUUUAAAAAUUUGAUUAGCUCUAGAACUCAAUAAAACGCGUCGAUUGCCACCUCAACCGUCUCAAUCGGUGAAUUCGUUCGAGAGAUAUCGUUGUAGAAAAAAUGGUAAACGUUAUUUUUCGAAAUCAAAGGUAUACAAAAGUAUUUUUGAGCUCGAAGAACUCAAAAAUGUAUUCUCAACAAUGAUUUCGAACUCAAGGAGCUCGAAAGCAGCGGGAAGUUUUAGGGCUGGCCCGCAGAGUCAACUGACAACAAUUUUUUUUAUUUAUUACAGUGCUUCCGUCUAAACUUAUG